rnacentral:rRNA from 1 species
UACCAGCUCUCCGAGUGGUGUGGAUGUUUAUUGGGCCUAAAGCAUCCGUAGCUGGCUGGACAAGUCCCCCGUUAAAUCCACCGAUUUAAUCGUUGGUGUGCGGGGGAUACUGUUCGGCUAGGGGACGGGAGAGGCAGACGGUAUUUUCGGGGUAGGGGUGGAACCCUAUAAUCCCGGGAAGACCACCAGUGGCGAAGGCUGUCUGCUAGAACGCGCCCGACGGUGAGGGAUGAAAGCUGGGGGAGCGAACCGGAUUAGAUACCCGGGUAGUCCCAGCUGUAAACGAUGCAGGCUAGGUGUUUGGACGGCCACGUGCCGUUCUAGUGCCGCAGGGAAGCCGUUAAGCCUGCCGCCUGGGGAGUACGGCCGCAAGGCUGAAACUUAAGGAAUUGGCGGGGAGCACCACAAGGGGUGAAGCUUGCGGUUUA